UUUCACGUUUGUAGCCCUAGACAACAGCCUCUCUCUCUCUCUCUCUCACUCACUUGAAUGGAGGCGAGCGACGAGCGGCGAUUGUGGUGGCGAGCGACGAUCGCUAUCUGCGACAGUGGCGGCGCGCAGCGAUCGAAGCAUCGAUUCGAAGUAAUUAGGGUUUAUGAUCGGUAGCGAGCGGCGGCAGUGGCGAUCGAAGGCAAACUCUCAACUAUCUGUGCCUCAAAAACCCUAGAAGCUUACUUUCGCCGAAGACUUUUCAUUAUGUUCGUUAGAGACUCUCCAUCGCCUUCACCAUACUAUCCAGAUAAUGGAUCAAUCAACCUACUGCCCAGGAUGCUAUUGCUAUUCCCCCUUCUACUAUCCAAGACCCUAUUGAUAAUGCUUCAAAACCACCUAAGGUGCGUGCAACGACAUUAUAACAGUGCCUACAAAGCAUGGGGUGCUUAGCAAACGAACCAACUUGAGGAGAGUUGUUCCAGCAUCUUUCACAUUUUAAUCAAUGAUCAAGAUUUAUUUAUGGUAUAACCCCAAAAUAAGAAAUUUAAAUAUACACUUUAGAUUUAAAAUUUUGAGUAAAUUUCUACGGUUAUAUAUAUAUAUAUAAAUGGUGCAAAGUCAAGGUAUGACAAGUCAAUAAAUUUUCGUGGAGUGUAUGGAAUGGUUGGGAAUAUUCCAUCCUUGGCAUGCUAACAAGAAAAGUCUGCCAACUCAUAAUAAUUUCGUUCAUUCUAUUAAAACUACCUUCCUUAUAUUAUAUAAGAAUAUACAAUAAUAUUUCCAAAAUAAAAAUAUGCAAUAAUAUUAAAUAUUUAAUAUCAUAUUUUCCUUUCUUGUUGACUCAUUUUCAUUACCUAUAUAUACAUAUUGCACAACUACUUUCUCAUACAAAAAAAAGAGACAAAACAAUGGCAAAAGGAUUCAAGAUUUUGAUCUCCCAAAUCAUCUCAUCCUUCCAAUUCUGCCGCUCCAAAAACCUUUCCAACUUCCUAGAAAAUCUUGUCCCUUCAUUCCUCCAACUCUCCCCAAACCCUGUCUUCAUUGAC